GCCAGACUCCUACGGGAGGCAGCAGUGGGGAAUAUUGCACAAUGGGGGAAACCCUGAUGCAGCGACGCCGCGUGAGUGAAGAAGUAAUUCGUUAUGUAAAGCUCUAUCAGCAGGGAAGAAAGAAAUGACGGUACCUGACUAAGAAGCCCCGGCUAACUACGUGCCAGCAGCCGCGGUAAUACGUAGGUGGCAAGCGUUAUCCGGAUUUAUUGGGUGUAAAGGGCGUGUAGGCGGGAGCGCAAGUCAGAUGUGAAAACUCAGGGCUCAACCCUGAGCCUGCAUUUGAAACUGUGUUUCUUGAGUGCUGGAGAGGCAAUCGGAAUUCCGUGUGUAGCGGUGAAAUGCGUAGAUAUACGGAGGAACACCAGUGGCGAAGGCGACUUUCUGGACUGUACCUGACGCUGAGGCGCGAAAGCGUGGGUAGCGAACGGGAUUAGAUACCCCAGUA
rnacentral:rRNA from 1 species